ACGCCCUGCCUCGUGAUCGUCUUCUCAACCUUCACUCGGCGGGCGGAGUGAGGGAGGCCCCCGCGAGGACAUGACUCGCGGGGGUCUUCU
rnacentral:ncRNA from 1 species